UCCCGGCGCCUGAGUUUUAUGUGUAA
rnacentral:piRNA from 1 species